GGGCGGGCGGGCAGGGCGCUGCCCCGCCGCCGCACUCACCAGGUACUCGGGGUACUCGUACAUGUAGGUCAUGCUGCAGCGGUUCUCCUCGUAGACGAGCAGCACGUCGCGCACCCCUAACAGCACCAGCGCUGCCAGCGCCCCGUAGCAGAGCGCCGCCGCGGUGGGCAGCCGCCGGCACGCCCGCCCCAUCGCGCCCAGGGACUGUAGCGACUUACUGGAUUUCGAGCUGCAUGGGACGGCCUCCCACCUCGAUGCAUAGGGCACCCAACUUCGGGACUGGAGGGGCUACUACACAGAGCGAAUUAACAUUUCAGUGACUAACAGCUUGGGACCGGUAAUCGCAGUAGCAUUCAUCGUUCGUGACAAGUGAGGCAAAGGUGUCCGUACCUACAGCACCUACGUGCCCGUUGUGAGCUGCCAUCAUGAGAGGCGUUUUCCCUGAAUGGUCGGCGGCGUUCACCUGCGCGCUGUGGCCGAGGAGAAGCUGCAGGCACUCCACGUGGUCAGCAAAGGCUGCUGCGUGGAGCGGAGUCCUGCCGGGGACAGCAACAUCACCACCUUACUGAGCGCACAGGAGCACUUCUGCCCACUUUGACCGUUACCCCUUUCUAGAAGGCUGUAAAACUCUAGAAUUUAUUCCCUGUCUCCCUAUGGCAUUUUGUCACUGAAGUUCAGACAACAGAGAUUGAGGACACUUGGUAUCCAACCCAGCCGACGGUGUUACUUUAUCUUCUGCUUAUUGCUAAGGGCAAAGUAUUUAAUAUGUACUGCCAAUGGUCUUGAGUUCACUCUAAUUAAGAGGAAAUGAUGAGUAUUCCAUUUUUAGAACUUCAAUAAUAUUAAAUACAUAUAUACAGUGAGGAAAUUAUCAGUGUGACAAAUAAAUUAAGGAUUUGACUGAAGAAAUAUGAAUCUCUUACUAUAUCAGUCAGUCGCUUUAUUUUGCUGCACAGAUAUUUUUAAUUAUUUGCCCUACGCUGGCAUAAUGCUAAUGCUUUCAGUGAAAUGCAUUUUUAUGUGUACAUAGUAUCAUUAUGCUUAGCAAAGAUAAAUGUAUUUAAAUAUUAAAGAGGAAGAAAACAGGUUCCGGGGAAUAGCCUAUAGCCAUAGAGGUUUUUAAAAAAACAAAAUGCUAUUUUUUUUUACAACGAAAUUGAGUAUUUCAUAGUAUUCUUCCUAGAAGUGACCCACCAUUUAACUUCCUUGCAGUUUAAGCUGCUGAAGAGCUAGUAUGAGGUGUUCAUAUCAGAUAAGGAUUAAUUCCAGAGAUUAAGAAAAAGUUAAGAAUACUUGAUGGAGUCAGGAAGAUGAAAUGCAAUUUGUUUAAGAAACUAUUACCUUCCUUUGUCAUCUUUGCAAUUAACAAUGCUGGCAUCUAUGGCUCCGAUGAGCAAUGAUGCGCAGUUUUCAUGAUCAUUAAUUCUGCAAAAGAUAAGAUACUUUUCAAAAAGGUAAGAAAAAUUCCACAUCUUUUCCCACUUUCCCAUAUUUAGCUCAUUUCCCAUUAAUAUUUCUUACUAGUUAUUUAUAAUUUUCCUAAAAUACCUUUGCCUUAAUGCUUUUCUGAUCAUUCACCAUCUCUCCAUUUAACCAAACUGCAUCUACUACUAAGGAUUCAAAUAUCUACAGCCACCUUGAUCCCAUAAUUCACUGUGCACAAAGUGAAAUGAGAUUGCAGCACAAACCUUCGGAUUAAACCCUUAAUACUUAAUACCUUAAAAUCCUUUACAAUAGUCCAAAUGUCAAACACACCUGAAUUUGGAAAGCAGUAACAUACCUACAUAUAGAAAGCUUUAUUCUAGUGUUUAAGAUAUCGAAACCUACGUCUUUUCCAACUCAUUACCUUUAAUACUUUUUACCUGAUGGAAGUACUCAACCAAUACUCUCUCUGGUUAUUAGUAAUCUGUCUUAUUUCAUUAUGAAAAUUAGUAGUAUUUGCUAAUAUUACAGGACAUAUAAUUAACACACACACCCAAGCUAUUUUAGCAGCAGUUCUUUUGCAUUUAACUUGCAUGUGUUUUUAAAUGGAUUUGAGAAUUGCAUGCUAGUUUGAAAGACAACAAAUACUGGAUUUUUUUUCUUUUUUUUUAACAGCUACUGGAAAUUCAGAUUUCACAUACCAUGUUUCAGCCACAAUUGAUUUUAUUUUAAGCAGAGUAAAAACAGUGCUUUUCAAAUGUUUUAAUUUCUCUUAUUUUUUAUUAUUGAUAAGUCUAGGGUUAAAAACCAAUAAAUUACUUUUCUAUUUUCUAAUUACAUUGGACUGUAGAAGGGAAGAUUGCACAAUUACAACUCCUACCAUUAUUUCCAGAAGAUAAUAUUCAUUCUUCCAAUAGAACAAAGAGUUCAUAAUUCAGUCAUUCUAAUUGUUGGCAGGAGGUAGAAAGGUUUAUAUUUGGUUCUACAGUGCUUAAUUCUUUACUCUUCUGAUGGCUUAGAUGUUUUAACAAGCAUGUUAGGUCCUACAUACUGAGGUAAUCUUCUAUUAUCUGUAAAAUGUAUUUGCAUUUGUUACAUUGUGCAAAGUUAGGAUGCUGCUCUCUUGGAAUCCUUUCUGUAUGAAUAUGUACUGCUGUAACUGAAUAAAGGAUUUGCCUAACAUACAUGCAUAGAAGCAGACAAACGA